CAGCAGUGAGGAAUAUUGGACAAUGAACGAAAGUUUGAUCCAGCAAUACUAUAUGAAUGAUGAAAGCUAAUUUGGUUGUAAAGUUCUUUCAAUUAAUUAUGAUAAUGACAUAAAUUAAAGAAGAAGUCCCGGCAAAUCUCGUGCCAGCAGCCGCGGUAAUACGGGAGGGGCAAGCGUUAUUCGAAAUGAUUGGGCGUAAAGAGUCCGUAGAUUGUAAAAUAAGUUAUUUGUUAAAUCAUAAGGAUUAACCUUGUAAAAACAUUUAAAACUC
rnacentral:rRNA from 1 species